rnacentral:rRNA from 1 species
ACUCCUGCGGGAGGCAGCAGUGGGGAAUAUUGCACAAUGGGCGCAAGCCUGAUGCAGCGACGCCGCGUGGGGGAUGAAGGCCUUCGGGUUGUAAACUCCUUUCGCUAGGGACGAAGCUUUUUUGUGACGGUACCUAGAUAAGAAGCACCGGCUAACUACGUGCCAGCAGCCGCGGUAAUACGUAGGGUGCGAGCGUUGUCCGGAAUUACUGGGCGUAAAGGGCUCGUAGGUGGUUUGUCGCGUCGUCUGUGAAAUUCUGGGGCUUAACUCCGGGCGUGCAGGCGAUACGGGCAUAACUUGAGUGCUGUAGGGGUAACUGGAAUUCCUGGUGUAGCGGUGAAAUGCGCAGAUAUCAGGAGGAACACCGAUGGCGAAGGCAGGUUACUGGGCAGUUACUGACGCUGAGGAGCGAAAGCAUGGGUAGCGAACAGGAUUAGAAACCCCGGUAGUCCCAUGAU